rnacentral:tRNA from 1 species
GGGGUUGUGGCUCAAUGGUAGAGCAUUCAUCUCGCACAUGGGAGGCCCUGGGUUCAAUCCUCAGAACCACA